rnacentral:rRNA from 1 species
AUGGCGACGCAGCUGCCAUGCUUCACGCAGCUCACCCCGCCGUCACCUGGAUGGAGAAACGAAGCGGGGAGCCUCGGGGCUACAUCUGGGAGGGCGUUGGUCAGAAGCGUUCCAUUUUCAGGUCACUCGCACAUCAGGUGUCGCGCAACCCCACGCAGCGCUAACUCGUUUCAGAAGAAAGACUCCUUCCUGGACCUUCACCCGGAGGUGUCCCUGCUCCGAGGCGAGCAGAACGACGAGGCUAUUAACCCAAGGAAAGCUUCUUCUGAUGGGAGCACUUUGGAGGGGCUGGGGGUGCCGCCGAGCCAGGACGAUUACAACGCUGCCAAGAUCAAGGUCGUUGGAGUCGGGGGUGGGGGUUCAAAUGCUGUCAACAGGAUGAUUGAGUACUCCAUGAAUGGUGUCGAGUUUUGGAUCGUCAACACCGAUGUCCAGGCAAUAAGGAUGUCCCCGGUGCAUUCCCAGAACAGGCUGCAGAUUGGGCAGGAGCUCACUCGGGGUUUGGGUGCGGGUGGGAACCCUGAUAUUGGGAUGAAUGCCGCCAAGGAGAGCUGUGAGUCCAUAGAGGAAGCUCUUCAUGGUGCUGACAUGGUUUUUGUCACGGCUGGAAUGGGUGGGGGAACUGGAACUGGAGGUGCCCCUGUAAUUGCUGGAAUUGCCAAGUCCAUGGGUAUACUAACAGUGGGUAUUGUCACAACGCCCUUUUCAUUUGAGGGGAGGAGGCGGGCAGUUCAGGCUCAAGAAGGAAUAUCAGCCUUGAGAAAUAGUGUGGACACUCUCAUUGUCAUCCCAAAUGACAAGCUGUUGUCUGCUGUUUCUCCAAAUACUCCUGUCACGGAAGCAUUCAACUUGGCUGAUGAUAUUCUUUGGCAAGGAAUUCGUGGUAUCUCUGAUAUCAUUACGGUUCCUGGGUUGGUUAAUGUUGAUUUUGCUGAUGUGCGAGCCAUAAUGCAAAAUGCAGGGUCAUCUUUGAUGGGUAUAGGGACUGCAACAGGCAAGUCAAGAGCAAGAGACGCCGCUCUUAAUGCCAUUCAGUCACCACUGCUAGAUAUUGGAAUUGAGAGGGCUACAGGCAUCGUGUGGAAUAUCACUGGAGGAAAUGAUUUGACUUUGUUUGAGGUAAAUGCUGCAGCCGAAGUAAUCUACGAUCUAGUUGAUCCAAAUGCUAACCUGAUAUUUGGUUCUGUCAUAGACCCAUCGCUCAAUGGCCAGGUUAGCAUAACGUUGAUCGCUACUGGCUUUAAACGGCAGGAUGAAGCAGAAGGUCGCACCGCAAAGGGUGGCCAGCAAAUGCAAGGAGACAAUGGUCGACAUCCAUCUUCCACAGGUGGCAGCAAGGUGGAGAUUCCUGAGUUCCUUCGGAGGAGAGGUCCUUCUCGCUUCCCGCGAAUUUGA